rnacentral:tRNA from 2 species
ACUCUCUUAGUAUAACUUACAGUACAGCUGACUUCCAAUCAUCCAGUCUCAGAACAGCCCUGAGAGAGAGUA